CAGUAGCCGCGGGAACACGGAGGAUCCAAGCGUUAUCCGGAAUCAUUGGGUUUAAAGGGUCCGUAGGCGGUCUUGUAAGUCAGUGGUGAAAGCCCAUCGCUCAACGGUGGAACGGCCAUUGAUACUGCAGGACUUGAAUUAUUGGGAAGUAACUAGAAUAUGUAGUGUAGCGGUGAAAUGCUUAGAGAUUACAUGGAAUACCAAUUGCGAAGGCAGGUUACUACCAAUUGAUUGACGCUGAUGGACGAAAGCGUGGGUAGCGAACAGGAUUAGAGACCCGCGUAGUCCCUGUCUCUUAUAC
rnacentral:rRNA from 1 species